GCGCGAAAACUUUACAAUGCUGGCAACAGCGAUAAGGGAACCUCGAGUGCCAGGUUACAAAUCUGGCUGUCGAGAUGCCUAAAAGCAUUUCAUAGCAAGGGCCGGGCAAGACCGGUGCCAGCCGCCGCGGUAACACCGGCGGCUCGAGUGGUAACCGUUAUUAUUGGGUCUAAAGGGUCUGUAGCCGGCCGGAUAAGUCUCUUGAGAAAUCUGGCAGCUUAACUGUCAGGCUUUCAGGAGAUACUGUCUGGCUCGAGGCCGGGAGAGGUGAGAGAUACUUCAGGGGUAGGGGUGAAAUCUUGUAAUCCUUGAAGGACCACCAGUGGCGGAGGCGUCUCACCAGAACGGACCUGACGGCAAGGGACGAAAGCUAGGGGCACGAACC
rnacentral:rRNA from 1 species